GACAGUACCCCCCCCCCCCAAAGGUGCGGACUCCGGCCGAGAAUAGAGAAUAAAAAGAGAGGAUAGAAUAGAGAAUAAAAAGCCUCUCUAUGGCCAAGGCGUGACAGUUAGGAGAACAUUUUUAGCUAACCCUAACCCUUUUCCUAACCUUAAACUAAUUAUCCUAACCUGCUACAUUAAUUAUCCUAACCUGCUGCAUAAGUUCUCCAAACCUGCUAUCAAAAAGUCACAUCUCUUCAUAACUGUACACCAUCGAGUCAAAACCCUGAUUCAGUUAGCAGACAGACUGGGCCAGUAGACUAUUUAAAGGUAGAGGUUGUAAAAUAGGACCUCUACUGACUCACAACUCAGUCUGAUGUCAGAAGUGAGUGCCUAAGGAGGAAUGGAAAGGGGUGCAGAUGGAUUCAAAUUAUAUCUUUAGCUCAUGUUGUCGGCUGCUGGCACAUGUACAUGAAUUAAUGAAUGAGGAGACACACUUGCAAGACAGACAAUUACCAUAUUGAUAAUUUGCUAUUUAACGCAACAGUUUUUGUGACAACUAUUGGUAGUUUUGAAAAUUAGAUGGAAACACAUUGAACUUUAGAUUUUUAUUCGGUACAUGAAAACUUAACCGAAAAAGUACAUUUUGUGUGCAAUUCACCAUCAUGCACUGAUUUUUAUCAGUCUGUUUGGUGGAAGACCUACUGAUAUAAAAAUGUGCAUGAAUAUCUUUUGCCAAUUGUAUGGAAACCUAACUAGUAUGUGCCCUAUUUUAUACUUAUAGAUGAUUUUCUAUGGGUUGAUGUGUUUCUCCCUCUUGAGUUUCCUAAUUGAUUUAUUUUCAGAAUGGCUCCCUGCUCAUGCAUGUUUUUCUCUCGCCCCUCUGUCGCCUUUAUUGGACUGGACCAUGGACUGGGUGCCACAGACGCUUGAUGACAACAGACGACGAGGAACGACUGCCAAAUUACUACCACGGACAUGAACAAGCAACGGCAGAUGAGUGACUGACAGCACCUGAGUGGCGCAGCAGUCUAAGACACUGCAUUGUUGCUACAGAUUCUGGUUCAAUACCCGGAGACCCAUGAAGUGAUGGUUCUUUCUAUGGUGCUACUCGUUUUAGAGUUAGGACCGUAAAUGAGACGCUGCUGAGAGGAGAACCAAAACUAAAGAAGUUGACCAACUGCUCACCAUGCACAGCAAGGGAAGUCCGGACCGUUAUGCUGUUCUGCUAUUCCAAGGAUGUGUAACCGAAGAGAGAUACCACGAGUGGACCCAGAAUACCAACUGGGAUGGAUCCCGAGUGAGCCUGUCGACAAAAUUCCAAUUAAAAGGUACACCGUAUUCAAAAGGAUGGUUUAAGCAGAGACAGAGGAGAGAGCGAGCCAGUGCACCAAGAUGAUCAGCAAUAUGUCAGGUCUCUGGGGCAGACCCCGGUUCAAUCACUCCACCCAAAGAGAACACAAGCCCAGAGGAGCAGGAGAUGAUUCUGCUGGCAGAGGAUGCAGAGAGGAGUGCAGAAGAGUGGCCACCCAAAACUUCAACAUCAAACAAUGAACACUGGGACAAUAUAUUUCAACAUCUGAAAGUUGGGAAUGAUGAUAGAUGGAAAAGGAAUGUCUAUUUUGUGAUGUCAUUAAAAUUGGUAGAAAGACGUUAUAACGUAAAUAUUGUAACUUGAAGAGCUUUUGCACUGUGUAUGUCACCCUUUAUGUUGUGUAGAAAAUAUCAAGGACAAAGAUAUUUUUUUUGUGACGAUAAGAUUGUUAUUUUAGUUCUCUAAUGAGAUCAUAGUAAAUGAUACCUUGUCUCGUAACUAGCCACACCCUAAAGGAGCCUAGAGAGCCUGUCCAUUCCUGUCAUUAUUGAAAGAUAUCAUGAUACCUCACAUCUCAAAAUAGGGCUACUUAAUGUUACAUCCCUUUCUUCGAAGGCAAUUAUAGUCAAUGAACUAAUCAAUGAUCAUAAUCUUGAUGUGAUUGGCCUGACUGAAACAUGGCUUAAGCCUGAUGAAUUUACUGUGUUAAAUGAGGCCUCACCUCCUGGCUACACGAGUGACCAUAUCCUCCGUGCAUCCCGCAAAGGCGGAGGUGUUGCUAACAUUUCCGAUAGCAAAUUUCAAUUUACAAAAAAAAUGUGUUUUCUUCUUUUGAGCUUCUAGUCAUGAAAUCUAUGCAAGUGGAGGCAGAGUCGCUGCUAUUUAAGACAAUUUUCCUGAUGAACUGGAAGGACGGCCUUGCGAUGUUGAUUUUGGGGAGCACAAACUCUACCUGUAUUUGGUCACCUUUAUGCCGCAUGCAAAUGUUGAUGGAUAUAUAUCAAUAUUGAUUAUUUAUACUGCAAUGUUGAGGGAGCAAGCAGACAAGCAUGUAUGUGGCUACACCUUCUAUACCUGCUGUAAAUUGUGUACAAAUUAAAGUUUGAUUUGCAUUAUUCAACACAGUUAAAAAGAGAAACAUAUGGUGUGUGGGGGAGGAUGUGUUUGUGUGAGCGUGCGUGUGUUUCAAAUAUAUUGUAUAAAUAGAGUUGUUCACUCAUGUCAUUUACUUAUAGUUCAAUUAAUUCAAUAUCUGGCAGUUAGAUUGAUAAUUCAGCACAGAGCGUUAAAUGUGC